AAUUUCACAGAUUUACGUCGGAGAAAGUCGCCACAGAUUGAAUUGAUCAGCCGACUGACAUGUGAAUAAACCAAAAUAAAGUAUUUUAAAACAAAUCGAAGACGAAGUUUUUAGAUUUGUUUCAUCAUUUAGCAUUGAGAGUGAGUUUCUCGUAGUUGUAUAUUAUGAUGGAAUCUACGCUAUUCAGCGUUAUCUGCUUAUUAUUACUCAUAUUAAAUCUUAGUGAAUGUGAAGAAGAUAACGCCACAAAAGGGUAUCAAACCAGAAAAAAUAUUCAACGAAAAAGAGCAGGACACAAAAACCAUGACUAUGAAUCCUUUCCACGUUCAGAAGUUGAAGAGAUAAUUCCUUGUCCGCCUCCCUUUUCAGUGGUUGUGGAUGCUCCACCAAAUAAACCUGCGAGAGAAUGAAUCAGUUCUUCAAGAAAUUGGAUUUCCUGUCCUCAUAACGUAUUACCUGAAAGAGUGAUUUAGAUUGCCAAAGAAUGAAUUAUGGUGAAGUGAGAGACAAUCCGGUUCUAUUUCCUAUUAUGUUGUGAUUGAGAAAGUGAUUGGGUUGAUUUGAUUUAAUAUAUAGAUUUGAUAUUGUUUAUAGAUUUUUCUCUUGUCAGAAGCCAGCCAAACAUUCAAGGUCACUUAGUGUCGAGUUUUUGGAUUGCUGAAAGUAAUAUGAGUGAAUUUUUGUAGAAAUGAAAACCAAAUAGAUAGCGAUAUUUUACUUACGGAGUCAUUCAAAAUUAUCAACUAUAUUCUUUCCUCCAUUCUCAAAUUCAAAAUCUACCAGAAAGUAUGCACCAUCAACAAAUGAAAAAAUUGGCAAAUAACUUCAUAUUUCUGUUGUAGCACCUAAAUAUAACUCUAAGUAACCAUUUUUCAGUUCUUUCUGCGAAAUUUUCCUCUUUCGAAAAUUAUCAAAUGACUCAAUUGUUUCAUUCCAUGAAUAAUUUACUAAAAGGAAAAUGAAAAAAGCAAUGUUACACAUUUUCUGGUGAAUUAUUCUGUGAAUGAAAGCUCAAUUCAAUGGAGAUUGAGCUAGAGCCGAACAUACUGAAAUCAUAACAUCAAAAUUGUGAUGGUCAGCUGAUAGUGAAAACUGAAUGAACUAACAUGAAAACUGACUGAAAUAACGUAGAACUGUCAUUUUUUCAUUUGAUUUCUCAGAAAAGGUUAUAAUUUAACAGGUGAAUGAUCUUCGUUUGAUCAAUAAGCAAAAAAAUUACCAAACAUCAUUCUUUGUGCACGGGUAUGCCAGUUUUUCGUGAAAUGUUCUGUCAGUAUAUUGAAAAAGGAGGCCAAACAAAUUUUAUAUUGGAAUUGUGACUAGAAUUAUAUUGUUAUCGGUGUCAAUAAUGUCACGUCAGUGUAUGAAUUUUUAAUAUAUCUUGGUAUCAUUA